rnacentral:rRNA from 1 species
AUUGAACGCUGGCGGCAGGCCUUACACAUGCAAGUCGAACGAGUGGCGGACGGGUGAGUAAUGUAUGGGAACGUGCCUGGUGGCGGGGGAUAACUACUGGAAACGGUAGCUAAUACCGCAUACCAUCGGAUGUGCCCAGAUGGGAUUAGCUAGUAGGUGGGGUAAAGGCUCACCUAGGCAACGAUCCCUAGCUGGUCUGAGAGGAUGACCAGCAACACUGGAACUGAGACACGGUCCAGACUCCUACGUGAGGCAGCAGUGGGGAAUAUUGCACAAUGGGCGCAAGCCUGAUGCAGCCAUGCCGCGUGUAUGAAGAAGGCCUUAGGGUUGUAAAGUACUUUCAGUCGGGAGGCGUUACCCGCAGAAGAAGCACCGGCUAACUCCGUGCCAGCAGCCGCGGUAAUAC